rnacentral:rRNA from 1 species
UAGUUAGUGGCAGACGGGUGAGUAACGCGUGGGAANCACAUAUGGUACGGAAUAACUACGGGAAACUGUAGCUUAUACCGCAUAAGCCCUUCGGGGGAAAGAUUUAUCGCCGAAUGAGUGGCCCGCGUUAGAUUAGAUAGUUGGUGAGGUAACGGCUCACCAAGUCUACGAUCUUUAGGGGGCCUGAGAGGGUGAUCCCCCACACUGGUACUGAGACACGGACCAGACUCCUACGGGAGGCAGCAGUGAGGAAUAUUGGACAAUGGGUGAGAGCCUGAUCCAGCCAUCCCGCGUGAAGGACGACUGGCCUAUGGGUUGUAAACUUCUUUUGUAUAGGGAUAAACCUACCCUCGUGAGGGUAGCUGAAGGUACUAUACGAAUAAGCACCGGCUAACUCCGUGCCAGCAGCCGCGGUAAUACGGAGGGUGCAAGCGUUAUCCGGAUUAAUGGGUUUAAAGGGUCCGUAGGCGGAUCUGUACAGUCAGUGGUGAAAUCUCCACAGUUUUAACUGUGGAAACUGGGCAUUUGAUACUGCAGGUCUUGAGUGUGUAAGAAGUAGCUGGGAUAGGUAGUGUAGCGGGUGAAAAUGNUUUAAUUUUU